AUGGCAGCGGAGCUGAGACUCGAGCGUGACCGCAAAAGGAUGCCAAGGACGUUUGUGGUGUUCACCUGGAUCUCUGGCAUCCCUGAAAGGAGGGGAGGAGUGGCUCGUUCUCUGCGUGAGCUGCUGAGGCAGACCGGGAGCUGCAGGAUCAAUGGAGACGCACUGAAAGGUACCGCGGGGUGCCGCGCCGUGCCGGGGGGAUGGAGGGGCUAUGGUGCAGAUGCGGUGGUUUUGGGGAGCUUUGCUCUGCUCCCGGCUGCCUGCAGCUCUGUCAGGGGAAGGAUGGUGACCACACUUCAUGCCUCUGCACCUCUCCACUCUGUUUUGCAGCCUAGGCACCUCCCCGCGGGCAGGGAACCCAUGCUGGUGCCAUGGAGGUCGCCAACAGCAGAGAUUUCCAGUGGAAAACCCUCGCCCCGCUGCCCAGCCGCAGGGUCUACUCCACCCUGGUGGAGGCUGGCGGGCAAGUGUUUGCCAUCGGGGGCUGCGAUGACAACGGGGUCCCCAUGGACUGCUUCGAGGUCUACUCCCCCGAGGCCGACCAGUGGACGGCGCUGCCCCCCAUGCCCACGGCCAGGGCCGGGGUGGCGGUGGCCACCUUGGGCAAGAGGAUCAUGGUGAUAGGGGGGGUCGGCGUGAACCAGACGCCGCUGAAGAUAGUGGAGAUGUACAACGUGGACGAGGGCAAGUGGAAGAAGAGGAACUCGCUGAGGGAAGCGGCCAUGGGCAUCUCGGUG
rnacentral:lncRNA from 1 species